rnacentral:rRNA from 1 species
UACGUAGGGGGCUAGCGUUGUCCGGAAUCAUUGGGCGUAAAGCGCGUGUAGGCGGUUCGGUAAGUCCGCUGUGAAAGUCGGGGGCUCAACCCUCGGAUGCCGGUGGAUACUGUCGGACUAGAGUACGGAAGAGGCGAGUGGAAUUCCUGGUGUAGCGGUGAAAUGCGCAGAUAUCAGGAGGAACACCAAUUGCGAAGGCAGCUCGCUGGGACGUUACUGACGCUGAGACGCGAAAACGUGGGGGAGCAAAACAGG